AUUGAACGCUAGCGGGAUGCUUUACACAUGCAAGUCGAACGAGGGGCGGACGGGUGAGUAAUAUAUCGGAACGUGCCCAGUAGCGGGGGAUAAUUACGCGAAAGAGUGGCUAAAACCGCAUACUAUUGGCACGGACGAUAUCGGACUAGCCAGUUGGUGGGGUAAAGGCUUACCAAGGCAACGAGCCGUAGACGGUUUGAGAGGACGACCAGCCACACUGGGACUGAGACACGGCCCAGACUCAUACGGGAGGCAGCAGUGGGGAAUCUUGGGCAAUGGGGGAAACCCUGAUCCAGCCAUCCCGCGUGUAUGAGAAGGCCUUCGGGUUGUAAAGUACUUUUGUCAGAGAAGCGGUAUCUGCAGAAUAAGCACCGGCUAACUACGUGCCAGCAGCCGCGGUAAUAC
rnacentral:rRNA from 1 species